rnacentral:lncRNA from 1 species
AGUUUGCCUCUGGCUUAUUUUAUGUUGCUGCCAUUAACCUUUGGCCUGUUUAUGUCUGCUUCUUCACCUGCUUGAUUGAUUGGGUUUUUUCCUUCCCUGCAUCUUUUAUCAUCUUGGAAAUGAGCCGGUACCAAGAACUAGCAGUAGCUCUGGAGUCAAGCUCCACAACAAUCAAUCACCUCAAUGAAAACAUAGAAUCAUUGAAACAACAGAAGAAACAAGUGGAACAUCAGUUGGAAGAAGAAAAGAAAGCAAACAAUGAAAUACACAAAGCACAAACGGAGCAGUUAGAGACAAUCAACAUCCUCACAUUGGAAAAGACAGACUUGAAGACCACCCUUUACCAUACUAAAGGUGCUGCCAGACACUUUGAAGGUGGGAAUCUGGGCAC